GAUGAACGCUGGCGGCGUGCCUAAUACAUGCAAGUCGAGCGAACAGACGAGGAGCUUGCUCCUCUGACGUUAGCGGCGGACGGGUGAGUAACACGUGGAUAACCUACCUAUAAGACUGGGAUAACUUCGGGAAACCGGAGCUAAUACCGGAUAAUAUAUUGAACCGCAUGGUUCAAUAGUGAAAGACGGUUUUGCUGUCACUUAUAGAUGGAUCCGCGCCGCAUUAGCUAGUUGGUAAGGUAACGGCUUACCAAGGCAACGAUGCGUAGCCGACCUGAGAGGGUGAUCGGCCACACUGGAACUGAGACACGGUCCAGACUCCUACGGGAGGCAGCAGUAGGGAAUCUUCCGCAAUGGGCGAAAGCCUGACGGAGCAACGCCGCGUGAGUGAUGAAGGUCUUCGGAUCGUAAAACUCUGUUAUUAGGGAAGAACAAAUGUGUAAGUAACUAUGCACGUCUUGGCGGUACCUAAUCAGAAAGCCACGGCUAACUACGUG
rnacentral:rRNA from 1 species